CACGUAGGGUGCGAGCGUUGUCCGGAAUUAUUGGGCGUAAAGAGCUCGUAGGCGGUGUGUCGCGUCGGCCGUGAAAACCUGCAGCUUAACUGUGGGCUUGCGGUCGAUACGGGCAUCACUGGAGUUCGGCAGGGGAGACUGGAAUUCCUGGUGUAGCGGUGAAAUGCGCAGAUAUCAGGAGGGAACACCCGGUGGCGGAAGGCGGGUCUCUGGGCCGAUACUGACGCUGGAGGAG
rnacentral:rRNA from 1 species